rnacentral:rRNA from 1 species
GACGAAGGGGGCUAGCGUUGUUCGGAAUUACUGGGCGUAAAGCGAGUGUAGGUGGUUGUCAUAGUCAGGCGUGAAAGCCUUGAGCUCAACUCAAGAAAUGCGCUUGAUACUGGGCAGCUAGAGGACCGGAGAGGAUAGUGGAAUUCCCAGUGUAGUGGUGAAAUACGUAGAGAUUGGGAAGAACACCAGUGGCGGAAGGCGG